AGAUUAUAAUAGCUUUGAAACAAUGAUAAUGAAAGUUUUUUCAUCGUUCUAAAUUUAUGCUACAGUUAUGGUCGUAAAAGAUUAAGAAAAAUCUUAUGGGUGCAAUUAUUCCACUGACACCUGCGAAAAUUACCAAAAGAACUGACCAUCGCUGUUUAUUGUAUUUUUUUAAAAUGUUCUAUUUAAACAAUCUAACACUUAA
rnacentral:lncRNA from 1 species